rnacentral:rRNA from 1 species
UACGUAGGGUGCAAGCGUUGCCCGGAUUUAUUGGGCGUAAAGGGCGCGCAGGCGGCUACGCACGUCCGUUGUGAAAUCGCUCGGCUCAACUGGGCGGGGUCGGCGGAUACGGCGUAGCUGGAGCAAGCUAGGGGGCAACUGGAAUUCUCGGUGUAGCGGUGAAAUGCGUAGAUAUCGAGAGGAACACCUGCGGCGAAGGCGGGUUGCUGGGCUGACACUGACGCUGAGGAGCGAAAGCGUGGGGAGCGAACAGG